AUAUGUUCUCCUCCAAUUAUCGCUUCGGCUAUUUCGGAGGAAAUCGCCAGAAUGGGCUCGUCCAUCCGCACUAGUUCCAACCCCCUCCCCGAGCUACCACUACCCUCAAAAGCCAUUUUUCAGAAAUGAAAGGGUUUCAAACACUUACUGAAACUCACGAAAUUUGGAGUUCCACAGCCAAAAAUGAUUAGCAGAGUCUGUAGAGUCACCGAAAAUUGGAAUUUCUCACCGAAAAAUGCUUGACGAAUGCGGAAAAGUGCAAGAUUUUUUAGAGCAAAGGAAGUUUCUGAUUUUGCAAAAGUGAAAAACUACCCAAAUGCUCAAGUCCACCUUUUAUAGAGCGACCCAGCUAAUCCCCACCGUUCAAUUCAAAUGCAAUCAAUCAAGGUCGUCUGUCGCAUCAUCAAUCUAGGCUGUUAAAAUGAAAUGCCAGAUUUGAUCUACGCUUAAGAUCUGGCUGUGCCCCUUAACUAGCAUAAAAAGUGUCGACUUGAUCACCAUCGGUCGUCUACAAUAAAUAGUCGCAGUAGCCUUUUAGGGGAAUGGGCGUCAUACCCAACUGUCACCUUGGAAAUACGCGACAGCUGUCAAAUCAUUUAACGUCAGAGAUGCCUACCUCAGAUCGAGCUCUUCACUCAGCUUUAGAAAGCUUAAACACACCAAACGUGGAAUCCCCUGUGGAUCAUCGCCUCGGUAGCUACUUUCCCUCCUAAGCUUUACAAAGCUUUAGUUAUCUCCCAACGCGUCGUCCCCUGUGGAUCAGCGCACCGGUGGUAGAUGAGCUUCUAACUCAGUUUUACAAAGUUUAGACACACCUGACACGGAGUCCCCGGUGGGUCAUCGUCUCGAUAGCUGCGUUCCCUCUUAAGUUUUACAAAGCUUUAGCCAUCUCCUAAUGCGUCGUCCCCUGUGGGUCAGCGU
rnacentral:lncRNA from 1 species